UAUGCCUUUCAUGGAAGGCAUGGGGAAAUGCUUUUUGGCUACCCAUUUGAACUCACCUUGGAGCCUGCCAUAUGAAGAGAGAUGAACAAAUGUGUAAUGGUGUUCAGAUGAAUAGGAGUGCAUUCACCAGAUCAGCAGCAGAUUCAAGGAAGAGAAGUGGUGGUGUUUGUGGACCAGGAUAUUCACAGCCAUGGAAGCACUUCUUGCAGAUGCAACUCCUGGGCUUCCGCAUGGGAGCACCUCUGUAUUUACUUGUAUUUUAAGAUGCAUCAAGCAGCUGUGGGACUUGUAGAUGAAGUUUUUACUCUGGGCUCAAAGACACAUUAAGCUGUCUAUGAAGUGAAGGACACCUGCAGUCACUAGUUGCUGGUCUCCAAACUGGCCACAUCAUUUGGUCUGCACUCUU